UGCAUUCCAGGUGUAUGAAAAUGCUUCAAAACGUGAAGAACUGUAGCACCUUCACACAUUCUCAUUAGUUUUUAAGGAAGAGACUGGAUUGGUCUCUUGGGCAGCUGGGCGCCUUUUGAAUACUGGGCCUGAGCUGGGGCAAGGGAGGGGGCAGUGGAGCCCAGAAGGGGGGAACUGAUUUACCAGGCUUCACACAAGCUGAAAGGGCUCCUGGCUGCUGUCCCCACUAAUUAGAACAGAGAUUUCUGCUUCUCUAUGAGAACGGGAAGGUCUGGGCUGGAGCCCGGGUUACCUGUUCCAUCUGUAUUUUAAUAGAACAUUUAUUUUAAUAGGAUUUAAUCUUGAGAUGCAAAGAUGGAAACAGAAACAGCGUGUAAAUCAAGAGGUAACCAAAACAGGCUGUCUGAAAACUAGAUCUUCAAAGGUGCCAGGAAGAGCUUUUGAGUGUGACAUCAACAAAGGCCAGUUACUGAUAGCUGAGAAGGUCCCUCAAGGGCAUGACCGUGGAGAGGCAGGACACAGCCCGUGGUGCAAGUGAUGGGAGCAGGGACACCUGGCUUCCACAUUGCAGUUCCUCUGACCUUCCUUCCCCUUUUCUGGAAAGUGCCCCCACCUCCCCCCCCCCCGCAGCAUUCACCCUGUCUUUCUCCUCCAUGAGUACACAAACACAGGCAGCAGUCCUGAUUAUAAAUGGAUUGUGUUCCAAGCAUUCAUUUGUGCUGUUUCAAGUCACUUCCAUCAGUGUUUGUGGAAGGCCAGGUGUGUGCCAGGCAUGGGACAACAGGAUCCUGGAGGAGAAUAAGAUACUGUCCUUGCCUUAAGCUGCCUGUGCUCCAAGUAGAGACCAGACGUGUAGUGUGAACCCCAUACAGAAGAUGGUGGGUGCUGGAGGAGAUGGUGGCCUCCAUCCUGGAGGUCAAAAGAAGGAGGGACCACCCCAAGGAAGGCUUCAUGGAGUUGGUGGCAUUUGAGGAGUGAAAAAAAGUCAGCAGACCGAAAAAAAAGUGGAAAAACCAGAAAAAUAACCAACCAGAAAAACUCCAUGGAAUGUGAGCGCUGAAGUCAAGUGGCCUGGGUUCAAAUCCUGCCUUUGCGAUUUUGUAGCCCUGGGACUGUGCAUAAAUUGUUUAAUUUCUCAGAGAUUCAGGAUAGUCAUUUGUGAAGUGUGGAUAAUAAAAGAAUCUGUAUUCGGA